rnacentral:rRNA from 1 species
GUGGGGAAUCUUGCGCAAUGGGCGAAAGCCUGACGCAGCCAUGCCGCGUGAAUGAUGAAGGUCUUAGGAUUGUAAAAUUCUUUCACCGGGGACGAUAAUGACGGUACCCGGAGAAGAAGCUCCGGCUAACUUCGUGCCAGCAGCCGCGGUAAUACGAAGGGGGCUAGCGUUGCUCGGAAUUACUGGGCGUAAAGGGCGCGUAGGCGGACAGUUUAGUCAGAGGUGAAAGCCCAGGGCUCAACCUUGGAAUUGCCUUUGAUACUGGCUGUCUUGAGUACGGGAGAGGUGAGUGGAACUCCGAGUGUAGAGGUGAAAUUCGGAGAUAUUCGGAAGAACACCAGUGGCGAAGGCGACUCACUGGCCCGUUACUGACGCUGAGGCGCGAAAGCGUGGGGAGCAAACAGGAUUAGAUACCCCAGUAGUCC